UACAGAGGGGGCAAGCGUUGUUCGGAAUUACUGGGCGUAAAGGGCGCGUAGGCGGCCUUCUAAGUCGAACGUGAAAUCCCCGGGCUCAACCCGGGAACUGCGUCCGAUACUGGAAGGCUUGAAUCCGGGAGAGGGAUGCGGAAUUCCAGGUGUAGCGGUGAAAUGCGUAGAUAUCUGGAGGAAUACCGGUGGCGAAGGCGGCAUCCUGGACCAUUACUGACACUGAUCCGCGAAAGCUAGGGGAGCAAACGGG
rnacentral:rRNA from 1 species